AUGAAGUUGAACCAAUUGUAGGUAAAACAGAUAUGUUUGUAUUUCCACAUGGCGCACAGGAUAGACAUACACAAGCGUAUGAUUAUUUGGUAGAUGAAGCAGAGUUUAAGUUUAUUGCAGGUGUCGGUCCAAACAAUUUUACAGAUAUAUCAGCAACGAACGUUUACCAAGAUAGGGUUGCGAUUGAUGGUCUAAACUUAUUUGAAUUUA
rnacentral:sRNA from 1 species